AGAGAGAGAGAGAGAGAGCGUGUGUUGUUUUCUCCGGUGUGGCUAUUUGGGCCCUUGAAAAGUGUUAAAGAAGGAAACUUGGGAAAAGGCUUUGACCAUUUUCUGCAACCUAGUACCUUGUUUGGCUUAAUUUCACAAUCAGCCCCUUACAACGUAUCGGCUCUGAUCUUUAAUUUGUCACUUUGUAACUUUGCAAUAUUGAAAUAAAGUUUAUUAUUAAAUAAAGCUCAUAAAUAUAUAUAUAUGUGUGUAAUAGGAUUAAGGUCACGGGAUGGGUUAAACAAAAUUCUGAGGAGACUUCCAAAGGAAAUCCGGGGCGCAAGGUGGAGGGGGCAUUCUCUGGGACUGUAGGGAUUUUUAAAUUGCUGGUUUUGACAUAAUAUUUGCAAUUUUUAUGUAGUCUGGAUUUUGUGCUUUUAUCAAUAGCUUAAGAAUGACCUGGAUCUAGGCUUUAGAAAGGUUAUGGUGGAUAUGGACUCAAAGGUAG
rnacentral:misc_RNA from 1 species